rnacentral:rRNA from 1 species
GAUGAACGCUGGCGGCGUGCCUAAUACAUGCAAGUCGAGCGAACGGACGAGAAGCUUGCUUCUCUGAUGUUAGCGGCGGACGGGUGAGUAACACGUGGAUAACCUACCUAUAAGACUGGGAUAACUUCGGGAAACCGGAGCUAAUACCGGAUAAUAUUUUGAACCGCAUGGUUCAAAAGUGAAAGACGGUCUUGCUGUCACUUAUAGAUGGAUCCGCGCUGCAUUAGCUAGUUGGUAAGGUAACGGCUUACCAAGGCAACGAUGCAUAGCCGACCUGAGAGGGUGAUCCGCCACACUGACACUGAGACACGGUCCAGACUCCUACGGGAGGCAGCAGUAGGGAAUCGUCCGCAAUGGGCGAAAGCCUGACAGAGCAACGCCGCGUGAGUGAUGAAGGUCGUCGGAUCGUAACACUCUGUUAGUAGGGAAGAACAUAUGUGUAAGUAACUAUGCACAUCUUGACGGUACCUAAUCAGAAGGCCACGGCUAACUACG